AUUUUCUCUUUAAAAAAAUAGCUUGAGUAUGAUGAAUGGGUGCUCACACGCUUGUGUGAGAUCCACCACCCUUGAAUCUUGUUACAAUAUUAGCACAUUACCCGUCUGAUC
ensembl:snoRNA